GAAGAAAAAACUUCUAGGGACAGUCGCAUUGAAGGAAUCUAAUUCAUGACUCAAGGCAACCUGGAAGGAAAAACUGCACUAGUUUAGCAAGGAUGCUUGGCUAUAUUCUUGAAAAAAGAAUAUAAUAUUUGCUAGGAAUGGGUGGUUAGCAGAUACAGAUUCUAUGCAGCCAUUCCAAAAAGAAUAAAGUCAGUAUUUCAUGCUCUCAACGCAGGCAUUGGUAUAAUGGUGACAACAGCCUACGCAGAAAUUCAGUUAACAUUGGGCUAGACUGCUGGAAGUGAGAAAAGAAUGCAGAGGUGAGCAGGGACAAGCUUGUUGCUGCUGAUUGGUCAUGCAUACACAUACAAACUCUGCGGUACUGUACUCUCCAUUACCUACUUCACCACCGAUGUAGAAGUCAGAGUUUGUCGGGUGAACGACAGCAUCACUGUCGAUCGUGGCAAUGUCAGCCUGAACAACUUGCAACUACAACAGUCUUACCACUUGACAGGAUGCUACAUGCAACAACCCAGGGAUGAGAAAGCUCACACACAAGCUCCACAUUCAAUCACAAUUCAUGUAUCUAAUUUUGAUCUAUGAAAGCUUAAACGGUUUGUACCCUAUAUACAACUUAAAGUCCAUCUCUUGCUUUA